UAGCAAACCACUUGACGACGAAAUGACUCAAGUUCGGCAUCUUCAUUUUGGAUUAUUCCACUGAGAUGGUUAGACGUGAACUUACAUGGCCAGGGGAGCUCACAGUUCUGCUCACCUCUAACAUGAGUCUCUUUGUUUGGAUGAGGAUGUAUGGUGAAAGCCGGUGCUGUGUUCACGUGGGACUGUGGGAUCUGUGGAUUCAUCUGUAGCUCCCUCUCUCUGGUGCUCUGCUGGUUCUGUAUGAAGAAUGACUGAGGAGGAGGACAAGGCUCAG